GCGAUGGGGAGAGAAAGGGAGGGAAGAAAUUUGCGGAGAGGCAGGCAGGGAAGAAAUUUGGGGACAGGGGCAAACAUUUUGAGGGCAAAAUGAGACCUGGUGGUAAGAGAUUUGGGGGAAAGAAACAUGAGGAUGGAGGGAAAAAAAUGUUUGACGGAGGAAAGAAAUUUGGUGGAAAGAAAACAGGGGACAAGACUUUCAAAUCUAAUGGCCAAAAAGGCAAACCUCGUCCAGGCUUCAAGAAGAAGGGUACAGGUGGAGGAGCAAAGCAAAGCUUCAAACCGAGGAAGGGCAAAAGCUGACAUUCUCUAAAUAGAAAUCUGUACUAGCAGAUAUGGGGUGCAUUGUCUUGCUGUACCACCAGGGCACCUUCAUGGACAUGAACCUGGUGUCAUAAACUGAUGUCACUGGGUUAUGCAAGUUAACCAGUUCUUGAAAGGACACUAUUGCAUCGGCAGGAGGACUUUUCAGUGACAAUUCAGUGAUGCUGUUUUCUACCAUGUAAAAUAUUUGUAAAAAUGAUUUUGUUGAUAAAGGGUUAAGAUGUAUGCAAUAUCUAAGACUUUUAUUCAUGAACUUCUUUGGUAGUUUUACCUGUGACAUAUACAUUGCAUAAGUACAUAAAUUAGAUUAAAACAUCUGUGGUGACGCUUCCUCAAUUUGUGACUUCAAGAACAAAGCAGGAAAUUCUGUUCUUGACUUUUCAAAACGGAAGUGGUGGGUAUCUGCAUUCUAAAUCUGCACUAGCGUUGUGUGAGCAGCUCUGUCACAAGUGUCUUAAUAGCAACUUGAAUUGGGGCACCUGAAGAAACUUUUACAUUUUGGGAUUAUAACUGGGUAUCAUGACUAACUACUCCGUGGGUGAACAGUUCCAAAUGCGGUUACUUCCUUCAAUGUAUGGGAUUGAAUUUUGUGUGGCCUUGGUGGGUAAUCUGUUUGCACUGUGGCUCCUGGUAACCAAGGAGAGGAAGAACUGGCACACUGGUGUGGUGCUGUCGUGUAACCUCGCCAUCAGUGACCUGCUCUAUGUCCUCACCCUGCCUCUGCUGAUAGUCUACUACGCGCAGAAGAAGAACUGGCCCUUUGGAAAUGCAAUGUGCAAACUGGAGCGCUUUCUGUUUACCUGUAACCUGUACGGGAGCAUCUUCUUCAUCAUGUGCAUCGGUGUGAAUCGUUACGUGGCCAUCGUGCAUCCGUUCUUCACCCGGACCUACGUGCGCCCCGCUCAUGCCAAGGCUGUCAGCCUCGUCACCUGGAUCAUUGUGGCAGCCUUUUCCUCCCCCGUGUUGAUGUUUGCUUCCACAUGUCCGAAAGGAAAUGUGACUUACUGUGUCUCCCAUUGUGAAAUGAAAUCUGACGAGUGCUCUCACUUCAACUACAAGCUAUUUCUAGCUCUGGUUGGGUGUUUUGUUCCCUUUCUGGUCACAUUUGCUUCUUAUAGUGGAAUUAUUUGGGUUGUGUGGCAGAAUACUAAUAUUACCCCUCUGGAGAAAAGGAAGGUGGCACUUAUGGUGCUGUCAGGCAUUGUGUUGUAUGCUGUUUCAUUCUUGCCCUAUCAUGUCUUACAAAGCUACCACUUUUAUCUGAUAAAAAUUGAAACAUUUGAUAGGAGGAUCUAUGAAGCCUACCAAGUAUCCAAGGGUAUGGCAACUCUGAACAUGUGCAUUCAUCCUCUUCUCUAUAUGGCUGUGUUUAACAGCUUCAGAGUCGCUUGCUGUGGAAAAGACCAAGAUGACAAUGUAUAGAGAAGUUUGAAAGAAACCUUUAUGGUAUGAAACCUUAGCUUAGCAUAAAUGUAUUUUAGAUUUAGAAUCAACCUGUAGCUGGAACACAAAGCCACUCAACAUGCUCUAAAUUGCUUUGCUGUAUUUUGCGAUAUUUGAAUUCUAUAAACCGACACAAUAAUGUAUGAUCUAUAAUUUAAAUAAAAAGACCAAAUUACACCAUCAGUCCUCUGCACCGUGUUUCAAGGACAGCCGUGCCUGUGGGCGGCGCUCAAACUUUCGUCGGGUACGACAUUUUCUUUUGCUCGCGUCCCCUUUCCGAUGUUCUCUGGCCGCUGAGCGCACCGCGAGGAUGCCGUCGAUCGAAUACGACGAUUCCAAGCCCAGCUGGGCCGAUCAGGUUGAAGAGGAAGGAGAUGAAGGUACCCUACCAUCUCCAAAAGAAACUAUCAAAGGAAAUAUUAAAACUAUCACAGAAUACAAGAUUGACGAAGAUGGAAAAAAGUUCAAG